AUUGAACGCUGGCGGCAUGCCUUACACAUGCAAGUCGAACGGCAGCACGGGAGCAAUCCUGGUGGCGAGUGGCGAACGGGUGAGUAAUAUAUCGGAACGUGCCCAGUCGUGGGGAUAACGUAGCGAAAGCUACGCUAAUACCGCAUACGAUCUAUGGAUGAAAGCGGGGGAUCGCAAGACCUCGCGCGAUUGGAGCGGCCGAUAUCAGAUUAGGUAGUUGGUGAGGUAAAGGCUCACCAAGCCGACGAUCUGUAGCUGGUCUGAGAGGACGACCAGCCACACUGGGACUGAGACACGGCCCAGACUCCUACGGGAGGCAGCAGUGGGGAAUUUUGGACAAUGGCGCAAGCCUGAUCCAGCAAUGCCGCGUGCAGGAUGAAGG
rnacentral:rRNA from 1 species